rnacentral:rRNA from 1 species
GGUUGAGGUAGCUUGCUACCGAUACAGCGGCGGACGGGUGAGUAAUACAUGGGAAUCUGCCUGGUAGUGGGGGACAACGUUUCGAAAGGAACGCUAAUACCGCAUACGCCCUACGGGGGAAAGGGGGGGAUCGCAAGACCUCUCGCUAUCAGAUGAGCCCAUGUCAGAUUAGCUUGUUGGUGAGGUAAAGGCUCACCAAGGCGACGAUCUGUAACUGGUCUGAGAGGAUGAUCAGUCACACUGGAACUGAGACACGGUCCAGACUCCUACGGGAGGCAGCAGUGGGGAAUAUUGGACAAUGGGCGCAAGCCUGAUCCAGCCAUGCCGCGUGUGUGAAGAAGGCCUUAGGGUUGUAAAGCACUUUCAGUGGGGAGAAAGGUCAUUCACCUAAUACGUGAGUGAAUUGAUGUUACCCACAGAAGAAGCACCGGCUAACUCCGUGCCAGCAGCCGCGGUAAUACGGAGGGUGCAAGCCGUUAAUCGGAAUUACUGGGCGUAAAGCGCACGUAAGUGGUUUGUUAAGCCAGCUGUGAAAUCCCCGGGCUCAAACCUGGGCACUGCAGUUGGAACUGGCAAGCUAGAAGUA